UGAUUUCGGAAAUUAAGUCGUAUGACAAUCUGAUACGACCGAAAUUUAAAAUGUUUAAUUUUAUUAUACAAUAAACUCUCAUGAGUCAAUUGUCAAACUUAAACCUGUCGGCUGUCAAACGAUCACAAAGUUUAAUUGAAAAAGAAAACAAUCAACACUACUGAUUUCAAUAAUUAAAACCAUUUAUAUAAAACUAAAGCUAAUAUUCAAAUUGAUGUGCAUAUUUUUUAAAUAAAAGCAUGAGUUCAAACGUCCAGCAACCGCCAGCGCCUCGUGAGCGUCACCCGCCACCGGAGCCCCGGCCGCGCCAGUCACCUCCUCAACCGCGGAAAGUGAACGCCCAACAGCCACCGCAACCAAGGGAGAGGCAGCCGCCACCACAACCGAGAGAGCGCCAACAACCCCCCAAACCCAGGGAAAGGCAAAUACCUAACUAAAUAUUAUUUUCAUAUAACCAUAUUCAUUAUUUCGGAUUUAUUUUUAUCUUUUCCUGUUUCGUAUUGUGAAAUGUAAAAUAAGAUAAAACUAUGAGUUUUAACUCAAUUCUCUGAAAGAUUUACAUUUAAUAUAUGUGAAUAUUUAUUUAUUAAAUGUGAGGCAAAAAAAGUAGAAAAGUAGUCAAGUAUAACAUACCUCCUUACAUUAAUUUUGAAUUAUGGACAGUUUCUAUUGUACUUAUUCUAAUUAUAAAAAUAAAAUUGCUAAUUGAUUAAGCAGAUGCGUGAAAAAAAAAUCUGUAGAAAAUUUGGACAUUAGUAUAGAGUUGUUUUAAAAGUGAAAUUUUGAAAUUUUGGAAAUUAAUAAUCUGAAGAGUAAUUGAAUGGCGGCUAAUAUUUAUUUAGUAUAAAUUAAAUUUAACCAGUCUCUGUGUAUGUAAGAUGUAGGUACAUAAUAGGCAUUGGGAAAUAAAUGCAAUAUAGCAUUUUUAAUAUGUGACAAAUUAAACAUAUAUGUACUAUCAUUAAUUGCAAACAUCAUACCUAUUAAAGGUAAGCAAAAAAUAACUACCUACUUAAUAAUAAUUUCUGGGAUUUUUAUAUUAGUAACUGUUAAUUAUUAUUUUAAAUUCGAAAAUAUAUUAUGUUAAUCUUAUUAGAAAGAUUUAUUAAUGUUGGGUAUUUAAAAUAUAGUGUUAGAUAUGUAGUUAACUAUAAAUGUGUCGAAGAAACAUAAUUGUUAAAAAAUAGUUUAUAAAAGUAACUUCUGCUUUUAUUAUAUUAUUAUAAAGGCAACAACUGCCAAAACUGUGAUAAAGAUAUUUUUUCUAAAACUGUUGCAUCUUUUAUAAUAUUUUAUUGGAGAAUGUUGGAGUAAAUGACAUAUAAUUUCACAAAAAUAAUUAUGAAGAUUGAAAUAUUUAAAAAUUACAAGUAUAAUUUGUAUGAUAUUCAAUAAUAUUGAUCUACAAAAACUUUUAAGAAUUUCUGCUUUUAAACUGACUAUUAUUCUUACUCCAAUGUGCUCUAGUUCAACUUUACUACAUUUUCAACUAUACAUUUUGAUGUUGCAUUGUAUUGACCAUAGCUGUAAGUGUUCUAUUCCUUCUUUUUGUAAUGCUAUAGUAGUUUAGUCUUUAUUGACUUGGUAAUAAACUUUACCUAGGUAACUCAA